UGUGCUCCCCCUGCCUUGCUGCCGGCCGGCUGUGUUCUCCCACGGGUUGCUGUUGGCCUCAGGGAUUGCCACAGCCACCUCCUCUCGAUGCCCACAGCCGCAGGAGGCUGCCCGGAGGAGCACGGCGUGCCACGUCCCAGCUCUGUGAGGCCAUGGCAGGAGAGAGCCCACCCCCAGCCAAGGGGUGCCUUCUGGCCCACAGCCUCCCCUGAGGGCUCGGUGUCCACAACAUUUCCCCCCAGAGCCUCCACCAGCUCCUCUGAGGGCAGGUUUGUUCCUGCACAAGCUGUGGCUCUGGUCCCCUGGGUGCAGGAUUCACAGCAGCGAUAAACUCCUCCAGCAAUGAAGGGUGGUAAGCGAUGGAAAGAGCUCCAGGGCUGCCUCUGUGCCCUCGGGUGGUUCCUCCUGCAUUUUGUCUGCCUGGGAGGAUAGCCAGGUUCCAGUCUGCUCACACAGAAGAUAAAGGAGGAAGAUACGGGAGGCCCUUUCCCCUGCAGACGAAGGCGCUCCUGGUCCUCCUCCUCCUCUGCCGGCUGCCAUUCAUACCGGCGGCCUUCCCUUGCUGUAGACACUGGGACCUCAGAGUCGGAGCAGUGCCCAGUGAGGUGGCCCGGCGGUGGCCAUCGUGUCCACAGUCCCCUCCCUGGCACAGGGAAUAUCGCCGCCGGCUUCUCCUGAUGUCCUCUUGAUGUCCUGGGCCCAGCUGUCCCCAUGGUGGGGACACAUCUCAGGACGUGGGACCCCCGGUUGGGGCAGCCGUGCGCACCGACGCAGAGCCAGCUCCCUCCAGAAGCGCGCGUCCUAGGACAAUGUCAGUCUAAUCAGCGCCCUCUUCGUUAGUGGGGACCUAUAAUUAGAAGCAGCAGCCAGCCAUCUGCUUUUAUCUCGUCACAUCACACCGUGCCUCUCCGCUGCCCUUUAUUACCGGCCAUCGUUUUAGAUCAACAUUUCCCUCCCCCCGCAGCCAUGUCUUAUCUCACUUUCCUUAUUGCCAGUGAAUGGCACCAGAAAUGCUCCGUGGUGAAGGGGAGCGGGCAGCGCUGGAGCUCUGCUGAAAGGGAUCCGUGCCUGUUGUUCCCUGAGAAAUGGUAUUUUGGGGGUUCACCGCAUCGCCGUGGACCUUCCCGAAAUACCCUCUGCCUUGUGCCAGGCACAGGCAGCAGGGCUGAGAAUAGGAAGGCAUGGGGAAAAGGGACCCGUGCUUACAUCUUCUGGGGUUCCCCAGCUUAUCAAACGCUUCCUCGACUUUCUCCCCGCAUCCUGCUCCAGCGAGGACUGCACCCGCUGGGGCAGUGAGUGGGACAUCACCUGUGCCACCAGCCACCCCUGGUGUCCACACCGCGCGGCCAGGGACAGCCCCACCUGGAGGAAGGGCCGGAGAACCCCCUUUAAAGGAUCUUUAAACUUGGUACCUAGACAAAAGCCUAAGACAUAUAAAUGGAUUAACUGCCAUGGUUUAUUAGCGCUCCUUAAUUCACUUCGCAGGGCUGAGGGAAAAGUUAUUAGCAGAUGUAUGGCCAGUAAUAAGCUAAUUAUAACCCUGUCAGAUCAGAGAUUUGGAGAGGUGGGGAGUUUUGUGUGUGAGAUAACUGUA